rnacentral:rRNA from 1 species
AUACGGAGGAUGCGAGCGUUAUCCGGAUUUAUUGGGUUUAAAGGGAGCGUAGGUGGGAUAUUAAGUCAGCUGUGAAAGUUUGGGGCUCAACCUUAAAAUUGCAGUUGAUACUGGUUUCCUUGAGUACGGUACAGGUGGGCGGAAUUCGUGGUGUAGCGGUGAAAUGCUUAGAUAUCACGAAGAACUCCGAUCGCGAAGGCAGCUCACCGGGCCGGAACUGACACUGAUGCUCGAGAGUGCGGGUAUCAAACAGGAUUAGAUACCCUGGUAGUCCGCACAGUAAACGAUGAAUACUCGCUGUUUGCGAUACACUGUAAGCGGCCAAGCGAAAGCGUUAAGUAUUCCACCUGGGGAGUACGCCGGCAACGGUGAAACUCAAAGGAAUUGACGGGG